GACGAACGCUGGCGGCGUGCUUAACACAUGCAAGUCGAACGGUAAGGCGCUGUCUUUGUGGGGGGCUCGAGUUGCGAACGGAUGAGGAACACGUGAGUAACCUGCCCUUGACUCUUGUAUAACUUAACGAAAUUGGGGCGUAUAUCGGAUAGGAGCUUCUGCGGCAUUGUGGUGGUUGGACAGGUGCGGCGGUUGGGGAUGGACUGGCGGCGUAUCAGCUUGUUGGGCGGGUAGGGGCUUAACUAGGCUUGGACGGGUAGCCGGCCUGAGAGGGAGAGCGGCCACAUUGGGACUGGUACACGGCGCAGACGCCUACGGGAGUGAGCAGUGGGGACAAGUGCGCAGUGGGGGGGAGGCUGAUGCGGUAGCGCCGCGUGCGGGAUGACGGCCUUCGGGUUGUAAACCGCUUUCGCCUGUUACGAGGCGUGAGUGACGGUAGUGGGUUAAGAAGCACCGGCUAACUACGUG
rnacentral:rRNA from 1 species